AGUGCACGCUGCUUCGACGUGUUUGUUUGAUCGUGUGUUUUUAGGUUUGCCGUAAUGAAAUGUGGUGUAGUUCGUGUGCAUGAAAGUGCCGGAAGGUAGCCUGCGUCUCGCUGCAAACUCGCCGUAUGCGUGGCGCGCCAGGCAAAUGUGGACCAACGAUUUUCAUGCCGUGGAGUGUGUUCCCUUUGUCUUGGGUGGUCGUGAAAAGUUUUGUGGACGUCGCGAUGAAAUAAUGCGUAUUAUUAGCGUGCCUCAGCUCGUCCAUUACGCAACGGCAUGUAUGCUGGAUCAACAUCGUCGACGCAGCACUGGCAACUCGGAGAGCUCUUUUCGAUCUCAUCGUACUGUUCAAAAGUGGCGAGGCCUUGGCCCGCAACAGAGUCCACUAAAAGGAGGAGCCCGCAGAAAUGCAGAUCCCAUACGAGUGCCUGCAGCAGCAUGGCUGGAUGCUCAUGUCAGGCUUCACCGUGGCAGAGUACCAGGCGGAACCAACGAGGUUAAAAGCUAGCCUUUCCUCGCUGCUUUCCAGGAAGUGAAGUAGUGGGCGAUCAUGUAAGAAUGAACUUGCAACAUGUGAGCAGUAGCCAAAGCUUCAUACAGGUCAUGCUGGUGGUAAAAACUGGAAUGCUGAGACAAACCACAUUAUUUAUUUAUUUAAGUAUUAAAUAAUUUACAUUUAUUUGUUUAUACCCCACUAAAGCCUUACAUGCCUCCAGGAAAGAAUUAGGUAAAAUGGGAAAGCAUUAUUAAAUCAAAGUAAACACGUCAUUCAAAAAAGCAUCAUUCGCAUAGCACAAGCAUGAUGUAACAUUUUUUAUUCAAGUGACGUUUCAUACAAAUCCACGAAAAUUCCAAGAAACGAAGCUAUUAAGUUAACAACUCUUACUAAAAAAACAGUGAUAUCACCGUUCUGUUAGUUGCACCUAAUCCAUAACUAAAGUUGGCGAAAUUGACGUAUCAUAUACUGCUCUAAAAUACAAUAAUUAAUUUGUGAGUAGGACGUGCAAAAUGCUUAUAAACAUUGGAACAUUUCACGCAAGCUGUAAAUUCAUAUAUCAAAUUCCUUGACUUAAGACAUAGCUGAUCCAGUCUGCAGAACUGUGAUAUGUGUUUUUAUUGCACAGUUGGGGAUUAUUAAACUUCAUGCUUUUACUUUUCUUUAAACUUGCCUAUUUUUAAUAAUUUUUACUUUAGGCUCUGAAUUGAAAUUCUUCCAACAACCGGUAGACCUUAACUUUCUCAAAUGCUACAAAUUUAAUUCAAAAUAGCCUUGUGGUUGUCUCAAAACCAUUUAGGAAUUUCACACGUAUUUAAGGAGGGACAUCGGAGUUGGUCCUUAGCUAAAGCUCGAGGCCAAUUCCGAUUUGCAGAACAGAAUUGUGCUUGCUAGUUUUUUUUUUGUGAGUUAUAGUUCUAAACAUAAGUUUUUUUUUAAUUGUGCAAUAAAAAUUGGCCUAAAUGUAAAUAACACCAAUUAAAAAUGUUUUAAAUAACAAACACCAAGUUCAGUCCUGUGGUUGCCAAGAAAAACGAUUUCACUAUUCACAUGCAUAGGAGCUCCUGAGCUAAAUCGUUUUCUUAGGUAUUGGUGUGCGUCAGUCAUGUUUGUAUUUCCCAGCAUAAUUUUGGAAUAUUGAGCCUGAUCUCAAAAUUUGCCUUAUAACAACAUUCAAGCUUAUUAAGCUUUGUACAAUAUAUGAUGCACUUCUCCAGGAGUACCACUGUUUGCUGCAUUUUAACAAGGACUGCCAGUGUUCUUUUUACACUUCAAAAUAGGCCAGAAUGCUGUGUUUUAUAGGUUUAGUGUGGUUUUGUGGAGCUGACGCAAAACAUUGCAGUGCACAUAUAUCUGUGCACAUUGAUAUGAAUCUACUUUCAGGCUUUAGUAUCCAACCGUUUAAUGUGCAUUGCUGGAACAGCAGGUACUUCUGCAGUUUUAAUGCGAAGCUUUCUUGUCUUAGACAAGCCUGCUUUUCUCAGAUGUCAACUCCAGUCGAGUGUGCCACAAAUGUUUUCCUGUUUCGUAUGUUAGCACCACCAGCUUGAUCCGUGAAGCGCAUUGGCAGCUACAGUUUGUGUGUUGCAAGUUCUAGGCUGAAGCAUGUAUGCUGACUGUUCUAAAGUGUGUAUGUAGUAUGU